UACGAAGGGGGCUAGCGUUGCUCGGAAUUACUGGGCGUAAAGGGCGCGUAGGCGGAUAGUUUAGUCAGAGGUGAAAGCCCAGGGCUCAACCCUGGAAUUGCCUUUGAUACUGGCUAUCUUGAGUAUGAGAGAGGUUAGCGGAACUCCGAGUGUAGAGGUGAAAUUCGUAGAUAUUCGGAAGAACACCAGUGGCGAAGGCGGCUAACUGGCUCAUUACUGACGCUGAGGCUCGAAAGCGUGGGGAGCAAACAGG
rnacentral:rRNA from 1 species